UUCUCGCUUUCUUCGGAAUAAAUUUUGUUAGGCGGCGACGCGGACACCUUUGCUCCGUGGUGAUUGGCUCCCGGCGGGGGCCUCGCGUUUGUCCAAUAUGGCGGCGCCCAGUGGCGGUGUGAACUGUGAGGAGUUCGCCGAGUUCCAGGAAUUACUCAAGGUGAUGAGGACGAUUGAUGACAGAAUAGUACAUGAAUUAAACACUACGGUUCCAACAGCUUCCUUUGCAGGGAAAAUUGAUGCAAGCCAAACCUGUAAACAACUUUAUGAGUCUUUGAUGGAAGCUCAUGCCAGCAGGGACAGAGUCAUAAAAAAUUGUAUAGCUCAGACCUCAGCAGUAGUAAAACACCUCCGAGAAGAGAGAGAAAAGAAUUUGGAUGAUUUAACGUUAUUAAAGCAACUUAGGAAAGAACAGACAAAGUUGAAAUGGAUGCAGUCAGAACUGAAUGUUGAAGAAGUUGUAAAUGACAGGAGCUGGAAGGUGUUUAAUGAACGCUGCCGAAUUCACUUCAAGCCUCCAAAGAAUGAAUAAAAAGAUACUUUUUUAUAAAAGGACCGGGACAUCUCAUAAGAGCUAAGCAUGACAGAUAUCAACAAGCUGUGAAGAAAGCAGAUUGAGAAAGGAGGAAACAAUGCCAGUGCUUUCUGAGGAUAAAGCAGGAUCUCAUUCAUGUGCACCACCUCAGGACCUGGCAUAUACUAGGAGUUCAAAUAUGGUAGGACUGGGAUGAUCCAUUUAUAUAACUCAGUGUUGCAAUUUUCCUAUGCUUAGCUAGUUAGGACUGGUUAAUUUAUUUUUUGGCUCAAAACAUUUUUCAAAAA